rnacentral:misc_RNA from 1 species
ACUACUCUCGAUUUCAAUCUUUUGGUUUGAAAUUGGAUUUGGGUGUUGUCGUGUCAAACGACUCAUCCUAAAUGCAUUAGCGAUCUGCCCUUGAUCACAUGUGAUGUGAUAAGAAAAAGCAUUAUUAGAUCAAGUGGUUAGGUUGCUUCUAAUCGUCGAAAGACAAUGACAUGUC